UACGUAGGGUGCGAGCGUUAAUCGGAAUUACUGGGCGUAAAGGGUGCGCAGGCGGUUUUGUAAGUCAGAUGUGAAAUCCCCGGGCUUAACCUGGGAAUUGCGUUUGAAACUAUAAGACUAGAGUGCAAGAGAGGGGAGUGGAAUUCCAUGUGUAGCAGUGAAAUGCGUAGAGAUGUGGAAGAACACCGAUGGCGAAGGCAGCUCCCUGGAUUGACACUGACGCUCAUGCACGAAAGCGUGGGGAGCAAACAGG
rnacentral:rRNA from 1 species